CGGGUGAGUAACACGUGAGCACCCUGCCCCUGACUYUGGNAUAAGCGCUGGAAACGGCGUUUAAUACUGGAUAUGUGACGUGCCCGCAUGNUCUGCGUCUGGAAAGAAUUUCGGUUGGGGAUGGGCUCGCGGCCUAUCAGCUUGUUGGUGAGGUAAUGGCUCACCAAGGCGUCGACGGGUAGCCGGCCUGAGAGGGUGACCGGCCACACUGGGACUGAGACACGGCCCAGACUCCUACGGGAGGCAGCAGUGGGGAAUAUUGCACAAUGGGCGCAAGCCUGAUGCAGCAACGCCGCGUGAGGGAUGACGGCCUUCGGGUUGUAAACCUCUUUUAGCAGGGAAGAAGCGAAAGUGACGGUACCUGCAGAAAAAGCGCCGGCUAACUACGUGCCAGCAGCCGCGGUAAUACGUAGGGCGCAAGCGUUAUCCGGAAUUAUUGGGCGUAAAGAGCUCGUAGGCGGUUUGUCGCGUCUGCUGUGAAAUCCGGAGGCUCAACCUCCGGCCUGCAGUGGGUACGGGCAGACUAGAGUGCGGUAGGGGAGAUUGGAAUUCCUGGUGUAGCGGUGGAAUGCGCAGAUAUCAGGAGGAACACCGAUGGCGAAGGCAGAUCUCUGGGCCGUAACUGACGCUGAGGAGCGAAAGGGUGGGGAGCAAACAGGCUUAGAUACCCUGGUAGUCCACCCCGUAAACGUUGGGAACUAGUUGUGGGGUCCAUUCCACGGAUUCCGUGACGCAGCUAACGCAUUAAGUUCCCCGCCUGGGGAGUACGGCCGCAAGGCUAAAACUCAAAGGAAUUGACGGGGACCCGCACAAGCGGCGGAGCAUGCGGAUUAAUUCGAUGCAACGCGAAGAACCUUACCAAGGCUUGACAUAUACGAGAACGGGCCAGAAAUGGUCAACUCUUUGGACACCUCGAAACAGUGGG
rnacentral:rRNA from 1 species